UACGUAGGGGGCGAGCGUUGUUCGGAAUUAUUGGGCGUAAAGCGCGUGUAGGCGGUUCGGUAAGGCGGAUGUGAACCCCUGGGCUCAACCCAGGGCCUGCAUCCGCGACUGCCGGGCUAGAGUGUGGGAGGGGAGAGCGGAAUUCCUGGUGUAGCGGUGAAAUGACGUAGAUAUCAGGAGGAACACCGGUGGCGAAGGCGGCUCUCUGGACCAUAACUGACGCUGAGACGCGAAAGCUAGGGGAGCAAACAGG
rnacentral:rRNA from 1 species